rnacentral:rRNA from 1 species
UACGUAGGGUGCAAGCGUUAUCCGGAAUCAUUGGGCGUAAAGCGUUCCCAGGUGGCCAAGCAAGUUUGUGGUUAAAUCCGGUUGCUCAACAAUCGAAUCGUCACAAAAACUACUUGGCUAGAGAAUGACAGAGGUCACUGGAAUUCCGCAUGUAGGGGUAAAAUCCGUUGAUAUGCGGAGGAACACCAAAAGCGAAGGCAGGUGACUGGGUCAUUUCUGACACUCACGAACGAAAGCGUGGGGAGCAAACAGG